CAUGACUCUAACCUUUCUCCUUCCCAUUUCACUAUUUUUCUCUCAUAUCAUUUUUCUAUCACUCACCAAUUAAGAACAGAUCUGUAAUCUUUCAGUUCCUUUUCUUUGUUUUAAGUUAAAUUAUUAUUUAUUUACUUUCCCUCUUCAGAUCUGCAAAAAUAGAGAAGAAGAAAGAUGUUUUUUUUUUUUAAGGAAGAAGAAGAAAGAUGUUUAUUAGUAGGAAAUUGAAGAAGAAAACAUGGGUAUAUUGGUAACUAUACAUGUCAUUGAAAUCAAAACUGAGUUUCACAAAAGCAGAAGCUA
rnacentral:lncRNA from 1 species